rnacentral:lncRNA from 1 species
ACCGAUCGAGCCCUAAUUCUCCGUCGCAGUUGCUCUCCGCCGCCGGCUGACCGACGGACUGUCCGCCCCGAUCGAUCGAUCCGACCCAGCCUCUGCUCUCCUUCGCCUGCCUCAGCUCUCCUCCGCCUCCUGCCACAGAUACAGCAACGGAACCGACCCACCCGUGGCUGCUCUCCGCCGGACUCUUCGCCGCAUCUGCUGUUGUCGCCGGUUCUUCGCCGCCUCUCUGCCUUCC